UACGGAAGGGGCAAGCGUUGUUCGGAAUCAUUGGGCGUAAAGGGCGCGUAGGUGGUUCUGUAUGUCUACCGUGAAAGCGUACGGCUCAACCGUAUUUUGUCGGUGGAAACUGCAGGACUUGAGGCUGGGAGGGGCUGGUGGAAUUCCCUGUGUAGCGGUGAAAUGCGUAGAUAUCUGGAGGAAUACCGGUGGCGAAGGCGGCAUCCUGGACCGGCAUUGACGCUGAUGAGCGAAAGCUAGGGGAGCAAACGGG
rnacentral:rRNA from 1 species